rnacentral:lncRNA from 1 species
UUUAUUACAAGGACUUUUAAUUAGAGUUGGAGGCAGGGAUCUAGUCUUGGCUAAACAAUGAUUGACUACUGAUUCAAUCUUCAGAAAGUCCACAAUCAUCAGCCUUUGUGAUCAGGAUGUUUGUUCUGCUGACUUCUCAAACAAUUGCUUGUAAAACAAUUGCCAUUUUGGUCCAGUCCAAAGGUUUGGCCCAGUCAAAGGUUUGGCCCAGUCCGAGGUUCAAGACAACAAAGCAUUUUCUCUAGAAAGGCAAUUCCAAUCCAUCUUAAAAUGUCUCCACUAAAGUCAAUUUUGACAGAUGUAAAAGUGUGUUUCAGUUACUGAUUUUGCACCCUCUGUUCCUCAUUCAAGAAGUCCAUUCCCUCGGAAUAACGCAUUCUCCUGAAACCUGGAGCAUGAGAAAAGCCCAUGUUCAGCUAUGCGCUGUAGUAAAAUUGACUCACUUGCCAUUUAGUGAGGCUAACAAAGACUCCACAGAUACAUAAUACUACCACUACAUGCAGUUUCGUACGGCUACUGUAAUAAAUUAUCGUAAACUAGCUGGCUUACAACAGCAGAAGCGUAUUCUCUCACAGAAGUGACCAGAGCAGGAAGCUUUUACACCGUUUAGACAAAGAAACAAUACAUUUGUGAAGAACUGAUGAGACAAAGGUGUUUAGACUAUGGGUAGAAAAUGGUAAAGAAGUAACUAGAAAGGUAAGAGUUUGUUUAACAAGGUUUGUUUGCAGACUUCUCUGGUCUCUGGUCUGAUAAGAAAUUUACUCCAGUAAAAAGAGAAUUUACCUCCUACCUUUAGACAUAAAAGGGGAGCUUUAAUUGCAUUUUCCUACUUCUUAAUUGCCUUCAGCCUAAAAUAAUUUUUAUAUUCAAGGGGCAUAUUUUGGGGUGACACAUUCUGGUUUCCUUCAUGUACAUACUACUCUCUUCCUUGCUUGUCUCUCUCUCUUGUAUACCCUUUCCAAAAUUCCAAACCUGGAAAAAUACACUCUCUGCCUAUCCCAUGCCUUCACUCAAGCAGUUGAUGAUGGAUAGAAAAGAACUGGGAGGACUUACAUUAAAUUUAGAACUCAAAACUCAAGUG